AACGUAGGAGACGAACGUUAUCCGGAGUUACUGGGCGUAAAGGGCGUGUAGGCGGCUGUUUAAGUUCGGCGUGAAAACGCCCGGCUCAACCGGGCGCUGUCGUCGGAGACUGGACGGCUAGAGGGCGGUAGAGGCGUGUGGAAUUCCGGGAGUAGUGGUGAAAUGCGUAGAGAUCCGGAGGAACACCAGUGGCGAAGGCGACACGCUAGGCCGCACCUGACGCUGAUGCGCGACAGCAUGGGGAGCGAACGGG
rnacentral:rRNA from 1 species